AUUGAACGCUGGCGGCAUGCCUUACACAUGCAAGUCGAACGGUAACAGGUCAAGCUGACGAGUGGCGAACGGGUGAGUAAUGUAUCGGAACGUGCCCAGUCGUGGGGGAUAACUACUCGAAAGAGUGGCUAAUACCGCAUACGACCUGAGGGUGAAAGCAGGGGACCGUAAGGCCUCGCGCGAUUGGAGCGGCCGAUAUCAGAUUAGCUAGUUGGUGGGGUAAAAGCCCACCAAGGCGACGAUCUGUAGCUGGUCUGAGAGGACGACCAGCCACACUGGGACUGAGACACGGCCCAGACUCCUACGGGAGGCAGCAGUGGGGAAUUUUGGACAAUGGACGCAAGUCUGAUCCAGCCAUGCCGCGUGCGGGAAGAAGGCCUUCGGGUUGUAAACCGCUUUUGUCAGGGAAGAAACGAGUUUCUCUAAUACAGAGACUUAAUGACGGUACCUGAAGAAUAAGCACCGGCUAACUACGUGCCAGCCGCCGCCGUAAUAC
rnacentral:rRNA from 1 species